UUGGAGGGCAAGUCUGGUGCCAGCAGCCGCGGUAAUUCCAGCUCCAAUAGCGUAUAUUAAAGUUGUUGCAGUUAAAAAGCUCGUAGUUGAAUUUCGGGGUCAGUAGGUUGGUCAUGCCACAGGUAUGUACUGGUCUCACUGAUUCCUCCUUCCUGAUGAACUGUAAUGCCAUUAAUUUGGUGUUGCAGGGAAUCUGGACUGUUACUUUGAAAAAAUUAGAGUGUUUAAAGCAGGCUAACGCCUGAAUACAUUAGCAUGGAAUAAUGAAAUAGGACGUUCGAUCCUAUUUUGUUGGUUUCUAGGAUUGACGUAAUGAUUAAUAGGGAUAGUUGGGGGCAUUAGUAUUCAAUUGUCAGAGGUGAAGUUCUUGGAUUUAUUGAAGACUAACUACUGCGAAAGCAUUUGCCAAGGAUGUUUUCAUUAAUCAAGAACGAAAGUUAGGGGAUCGAAGACGAUCAGAUACCGUCGUAGUCUUAACCAUAAACUAUGCCGACUAGGGAUCGGAUGAUGUUAAUUUUUUAAUGACUCAUUCGGCGCCUUACGGGAAAC
rnacentral:rRNA from 1 species